rnacentral:rRNA from 1 species
GACGAACGCUGGCGGCGUGCUUAACACAUGCAAGUCGAACGGAAAGGCCCUGCUUUUGUGGGGUGCUCGAGUGGCGAACGGGUGAGUAACACGUGAGUAACCUGCCCUUGACUUUGGGAUAACUUCAGGAAACUGGGGCUAAUACCGGAUAGGAGCUCCUGCUGCAUGGUGGGGGUUGGAAAGUUUCGGCGGUUGGGGAUGGACUCGCGGCUUAUCAGCUUGUUGGUGGGGUAGUGGCUUACCAAGGCUUUGACGGGUAGCCGGCCUGAGAGGGUGACCGGCCACAAUGGGACUGAGAUACGGCGCAGACUCCUACGGGAGGCAGCAGUGGGGAAUAUUGCACAAUGGGCGGAAGCCUGAUGCAGCAACGCCGCGUGCGGGAUGACGGCCUUCGGGUUGUAAACCGCUUUCGCCUGUGACGAAGCGUGAGUGACGGUAAUGGGUAAAGAAGCACCGGCUAACUACGUG